UGUGUGCUUUACUCCAGGCCAGGUUUGAUAAGGCUGCUGAGAGGUUGUGCUGACUCACUGUGAGCUAAGGUAAAACAGGCACUGACAUGGUACUGUAAACACACACCACUCAACAACAGGGACUUUCAAGUAAAAUGCACGUUUUGGAGGUUCCCCCCCACACCUUAAACCUCACCUAUCACCACAGCAAUCACAAAACCCUCCUGAGCACUGUGAGCUUUAACACAGCUGAGCACCCCAAAGGAUUUCAUGGAAGUUAUCUGGUGAAGAAGUGACAGAAGGCAACACCAGAUACUCCAGAGAUCACGUUUUAGUGUUUUUCUAACACAACAGGACAUCAAUGAGCACCAAAACUCUGACCAGUGUGCAACACCUCUGCAUAAGCAAGGGUCAUGCAUUACAUUAUUCACAGGGGUAAUCCUAUAGAAUUAAGCCACAAGUACUCUCUCAGAAGAUCAAAUUUUGAAGCAGAUGGCCAGGACAGGAUCUGUGUGCUGCUUGUUCCUGGAAACGAGAGGUGCCACAUGGUGCUCUGGGAUAGAAGUUUUGAACCGAGGAAGACACAAAACCAGGAAUGUCUUAGACAAGACUGGGGGGAAGGAUCUUAGUGUGCCAUCAUCUGUAAGUGGGCACCAGUGAGAAACCACCAGUAGCUGAGGAGAAGGCCAAGAAGCCAAGUUUUAGCUGACUCCCUUGUCACCUUGGAGCCUCCUGCACCAACAUCCCACACAAACCCGGCAGCCCUCUCCCAAACAUCAGGGAUCUGUAUUCCAGGCAGAGCUCAAAUGCACCAUUUGGCAUUACCAAGAGCUCCAAACCCUCCCAGGUGUUUUACAACAAACGAGGCUGCGCUUUCCUUGCAGCUACUGAGUGACUUGAUGAAAUUCGGCAGCAUGAUGUGCUUGCAUCCACCCAACAGCCUCCAAACACUCUUUAUGGCUGUCAGUGAUCCAGCCACCAAGAGAAAACAUCACCUCAAUACUCAGAUCCUCCUAAUUCCAAAGCACCAGAAGUCAGGAGGACUGGAAUCAUGACCCUCAACAGCAUCAUAACAUUUAGGGCCCUGACAUGAAUUUUACUAUCAAAUAAGUAACCAAGGGAGGUUUGCUGGGAGCAGACCCGGAUGGAAGCAGCAUCAGCCUCAAGUGCUUCCGCCCACAGACUCCCACCUAACGCUCGUCAGGCAGCUCCAGGCACUCCGAGUUUCCAAGAUGUCAUCUGGAACAUCAAAUACAGUUCUAAGCACGACCCUGUACAACAGCAGCAAUUCCUGUUGCUCACUAGCAAGUCAUCCCUGUUUUGGACAACAUUUUUGGAAUGUGCUGCCCACAGUACAUUGAAUUUCCUAAGUUACGCCUGGAAAUCAGGAUGUUUUGUCCCAGUAAGUGGACACUGUUUAAUAAGACCCCUUCUGCAACAAUGGGUUUGCACUCGCUGUGACAGAGCUCCAUUUAACCAGGGCUGUGGAAUUCUGGGGGAUAUCUGCACUGCCUCAACUCUGCUGGCCUCUGGAAAAAGCCAUUCCUCAACAAACAUAGCUUUGUAACUUUGGAGAGGCCUGGGUUUGGGCUUAUUUUAAUGGCACAGCUUUUAUCCAGUAAGGACCUGACCUUCACCAUGUAAAUGAGAAACCUGUAUUUGCUGCAAAUGCUCUGAUGUUCCACAUCCCCUGUUCUGCUCCGAGAAACCUUAUUUAAAGCCUCUAGUAAAAAGAAAAGGUAUUUUGGGGCUAGACUAACUUUUGUUGGAUCCAGUGAUGUCACCUCUUUCCAGAUAAAGCCCAGGUUUGAAGCUCACCACGCUCAUGAUCACAUGGCAGGUCAGGCACAACACCCAGUCACAUCCAGGACCCUGAUCCCUGCUGUGGGAUGGGGAAAGGAAACAAGAGUCCCAACUCCCUUUGUGCCAUCUCAGCUUCGCCCCAGUAUUUUAAAUACCUCACCAUUACAAAGUCCAAAAAGCAUGAACAUGGUGACACCACGCUGAUGUCACCAGAAUGCUCCAGAAGAAGGUGAGCAAAAAGGGGAAAUGAAUCCAACCUGGAAAUACUGGAAUUGCACAAGCUUGCACCAAGGCAAGGAGAACACUGGGCCAAGCCAGGCUACAGAGGCACAUCAUGUGCUCUACUCAGAGCAGAAAUAAAUAUGCCAUUCUAAACAUUUUCUGAGUUUAUUUUCAGAAAAAUCUAGAGCAAAGAUGGAAAUAGCAAUCUGAUUAAAAUAAAAAAAAAAAAAAAGAAGUUAAGAGUGGCAGCAAAUUAU